rnacentral:snRNA from 1 species
GUGCUCGCUUCGGAAGCACAUAUACUAAAAUUAUAACGCUAUAGAGAAGAUUAGCGUGGCCCCUGCGCAAGGAUGACACGCAAAUUUGUGAAGCGUUCCAUAUUUUU